AUAAACUAUAAAUGGUGCACCAGACAGCUUUGGUCGGCCCGAGGCUAUAGGAGAAGACACUUUCCCAAGGUGCCACGCAGUGGGACUGAACCCAGAACCAUGUGGUUGAAAAAGUUUUGCAUUGUUGCCAUGAAACAGCAUGUCAAUGGUAAAAUUUGCAACCUUACACCUGUUUCAAACAUGCGAUUGAAUGUGUUCAUCAUUCAAAUUUAUCAACCGAUCAAUUGAGUGGCUGAAAAUAUAGGGGUUAACCCUCACAAGGAUAUCUUCAUCAGGGCCUAAACGAAUCAACUGCCAAAGAAGAAAAGAAGAAAAGAAACAUGAUGGAAUUUGAUUUAAAAAAAACAAGUGUUGAGGUUACAAGGAAAAUGGAGAAAACUGAGUAUCGUGCUGUCAUAAAGUACCUUCAUUUGACUCCAUCAGAAAUCCAUGAAGAUAUGGUGAGAACCAUAACAGACAAUGCUCCUUCAUAUGCAACAGUCUCAACCGCUGUUACAGAGACUGCUUCGGACCUCUCCGUCCUUUAUUCCCACCGAGAAAGUAUUGUAUUGAUUACCCUUCGGAUCAAGCUUUUCGAUUCGCCCUUGGACCUCAGAUCCCCACCUUCACCAAAAAGCCAAUAAAAUGCAUGUGACCUUUGA